rnacentral:lncRNA from 1 species
GGGGAGCGGGGGAACGGGACGGAUGCUGCGCGCUCAUUGGCCGAAACUUUGGAGCUCGUACUCCUUCCCAGUUGAUGAGAGGGGGAAGGGGGCGGAUGCUGCGCGCUCAUUGGCCCAAAGUUUGAGACUCGUCCUCCUCCCAGCGGGGGAGCGGGACGGAUGCUGCGCGCUCAUUGGCUGAAACUUUGGAGUCGUGCUCCAUCCCAGGUGAUGAGCGGGGGAACGGGACGGGUGCUGCGCGCUCAUUGACCUAAAGUUUGGAUCUCGUGCUCUCUCCCAGGUGAUGAGAGGGGGAAGGGGGCGGAUGCUGCGAGCUCAUUGGCUGAAACUUUGGAGUCGUGCUCCAUCCCAGGUGAUGAGCAGGGGAACGGGACGGGUGCUGCGCGCUCAUUGACCCAAAGCUUUGAUCUCGUGCUCCCUCCCAGGUGAUGAGCGGGGGAACGGGACGGAUGCUGCGCGCUCAUGGGCCCAAAGUUUGGAGCUCGUGCUCCCUCCCAGACUCCCCCUUCAAGCAGCCAUUCCACAGUUUCAGAUUCAUCCUUGUCGGAGCAUCAGCCCUGAAUCUUAUCCUGAAUCCCUGUCCUUCUACUCAAUUUCUGUGCAUGCCCUAAGCUAUUUUAACAAAUGACUUGCAUUGUAUUUCUAAGGGCUUUGAUGACAACCCAAAAUACAAUAACAUUUGAAGCAUUGGAAAGGACAUGCUGAAUUCACAUUGCAGAACCUGUGAGGGUGGCAUAUUUGACCUGUUUCACUCCAAAGAAAAUAAGCACAAAGAAAACACAUAAUACCUUGG